UGACCUCGGAUCAGGUAGGGAUACCCGCUGAACUUAAGCAUAUCAAUAAGCGGAGGAAAAGAAACCAACAGGGAUUGCCUCAGUAACGGCGAGUGAAGCGGCAAGAGCUCAAAUUUGAAAUCUGGCCCCUCCGGGGUCCGAGUUGUAAUUUGCAGAGGAUGCUUCGGAUACGGCCCCCGUCUAAGUGCCCUGGAACGGGCCGUCGGAGAGGGUGAGAAUCCCGUCUGGGACGGGGUGUCCGUGUCCGUGUGAAGCUCCUUCGACGAGUCGAGUUGUUUGGGAAUGCAGCUCUAAAUGGGUGGUAAAUUUCAUCUAAAGCUAAAUAUUGGCCGGAGACCGAUAGCGCACAAGUAGAGUGAUCGAAAGAUGAAAAGCACUUUGAAAAGAGAGUUAAACAGCACGUGAAAUUGUUGAAAGGGAAGCGCUUGCGACCAGACUCGCCGACGGGGUUCAGCCGGGAUUCGUCCCGGUGUACUUCCCCGCCGGCGGGCCAGCGUCGGUUUGGGCGGCCGGUCAAAGGCCUCCGGAAUGUAUCGCCCCCCGGGGCGUCUUAUAGCCGGAGGUGCAAUGCGGCCUGCCCGGACCGAGGAACGCGCUUCGGCACGGACGCUGGCAUAAUGGUCGUAAGCGACC
rnacentral:rRNA from 1 species